rnacentral:rRNA from 1 species
UACGGAGGGUGCGAGCGUUAUCCGGAAUUACUGGGUUUAAAGGGUGCGUAGGCGGUUUGAUAAGUCAGGAGUGAAAGUUAUCUGCUUAACGGGGAAAUUGCUUUUGAUACUGUCAAGCUUGAAUCGGGUUGAGGUUAGCGGAAUGUGACAUGUAGCGGUGAAAUGCAUAGAUAUGUCAUAGAACACCAAUUGCGAAGGCAGCUAGCUAGGCCUAGAUUGACGCUGAGGCACGAAAGCGUGGGGAGCGAACAGG